GAGCCUGGCACAGUAGCCACAAGGAGGAAAGCAGCUUAAGAAUUAAGCCCACCGUUGGUGGGGAUGUAAAAUGGUGUAGCAGCAAUGGAAAAGUCCGGUGGUUCCUCAAAAAAUUAAAGAUACAAUUACCAUAUGAUCCAGCAACUCCAUCUCUAGUUAUGAUCUAAGUCAUCCCCGCUGCCAUAUUGUACUUGAAAGAAGACAUUACCAUCAGCUUCCAGAAAACCAACCAGGGGAGCUUCCAGUCCAGCACCUUCCUCUCCAUCAGGUACAGUAUUGGAUUUGUCCAAAAAAGAGAUCAUCCUGUGGAUGACCCAUUCCGAUCCCUAACCUUCAACACUUCUUAACCCCUGGACUCCAGUGAACUCCACCUACCCAUUCCGGGCCGCACCCUAGACUUUGGAGGUCACCACACAGAACCUCCAAAACUCUAUGCUCUGCUCCUAUUGUGACUUGGUUAAAUUAACAUUUGUUAAGUGGAGCACAGGGUGUCAGAUGGUGAGCCACGGUUCAACGAGAGACCACAGGGAAAUUUAAAGAGGAAAGUUUAUGGCUCACAAGUCCUGGAAGAAGUUCACGGCGUACCCUGAGUGGCCACACAGGGAGGUCAAGGCAGAGUACAGACAGAGAGAGCAGCGGAAUCAGGGGGACGUGCCUUCAUUAGGGUCCAUGGGUGGAGUGCUUUGGAGGUCCUGGCCAGGGCUGGAAAGCCAUCCCAGUGACUUCAUCCAACCCCACGUGUGCACGAAAGAGUUGAUUCAGCAGGUCUGGGAUCUUCAAACCCUGCACAUUCCAAAGAAAGUUCUGGCCCUUGCCUGUCUCAUAGAAGACAACCUCUAAGCUCUUAGAAUAUCCUGCUGAGAGCAUCCUGGUCAGGAGAGAACGCCACCUGCAGAGACAACAGUAUGAAAAACUCUACCCACUACACUACUCUACACUGCACCACGCAACUGAGUCCCUCAUCCCCAAAUAGGUACUCCAGGCCCCCCUCGGAGACACUGCGUGUUCAGUUCCAGGCCACCACAAUAAAAUGAAUGUCGCAAUAAAGUGUACCUCAGAGAUGUUGCAAGUUCGGUUCCAGACAACCACAAUAGAGUGAAUAUUGCAAUAAA
rnacentral:lncRNA from 1 species